CUAAGAGCUGCGUUAGCCCAGCCUCCUCCUCCCCUGGGCGUUGCACGUGCUGCCCGGCUCGACUCUGGGUUACCUUCCUCUGUGACUUGGCUCGUGGGGUCCCUGCAAGGGACGUAAGGACGCACCGGCUGCCCCCGACCCGAGCUGUGAGCUCUGAGGACGGACCAGAGGCAGUUUUCAUGCAUGCACAUAAAAGAUGUCUGUUUCCUACAGAAUGUCAGUACACCAUCUGUUUCUUUGCUGUUGGGGAUGGUUGAAUAAUUUCCUGAGGAACUGCUGACAAGAUGUGGCCCAGGAACACUAGUCCAGCAGGACCAGAUUUCUCAUUAAAAUCGC
ensembl:lncRNA